GUUAAUUCCAUAGACCAUAGCGUAGAAUCUGAAUUUCCACCGUCUCCACAAACAAAUUACCCUCACAUGGCGGUGAAAAAGACGAUGAUCAAUCUGCAGCAACAACUCUACCAAAAUUCCUGGACUAUGCUCGAAUUCGAACAAAUUCUUGAACAUCAACGUCUCAAAUGGACCCCAUUUCUUUUUAGCUACGCCUGUAAAUUUGUCAAUUUUUAGGAUAGGGACUGUAUUUUAUAAGAUCAGUGUCUAAAAUUGGAGCUUCUUCAAAUCGUCAUGAAAGACACUUGUGAGGUCUUCUGGUGAAGAGGGCCAGAGUGAAAAGACAUCUGGUACGGGGUGGCAAACAAGCUUCAGAAAGUCUCUCCAACAGUAGUU